UACGAAGGGAGCUAGCGUUGUUCGGAAUUACUGGGCGUAAAGGGCGCGUAGGCGGUUUAGCAAGUUGGAUGUGAAAGCCCAGGGCUCAACCCUGGAACUGCAUUCAAGACUGCUUUACUUGAAUUCGGUAGAGGUUAGUGGAAUUCCCAGUGUAGAGGUGAAAUUCGUAGAGAUUGGGAAGAACACCCGUGGCGAAGGCGGCUAACUGGACCGACAUUGACGCUGAGGCGCGAAAGCCAGGGGAGCAAACGGG
rnacentral:rRNA from 1 species